rnacentral:rRNA from 1 species
AGUAGCCGCGGUAAUUCCAGCUCCAAUAGCGUAUAUUAAAGUUGUUGCAGUUAAAAAGCUCGUAGUUGAAUUUCGGGACCAAUAUGUCGGUCGUGCCUCGGUACGUACUGGUGUCAUUGGUUUCUCCCUUCUGAGGAUCCUUGAUGUCAUUAAUUUGGUGUCUUGGGGAAUCAGGACUGUUACCUUGAAAAAAUUAGAGUGUUUAAAGCAGGCAUACGCUUGAAUACAUUAGCAUGGAAUAAUGAAAUAGGACGUUCGAUUCUAUUUUGUUGGUUUCUAGGAUCGACGUAAUGAUUAAUAGGGAUAGUUGGGGGCAUUAGUAUUCAAUUGUCAGAGGUGAAAUUCUUGGAUUUAUUGAAGACUAACUACUGCGAAAGCAUUUGCCAAGGAUGUUUUCAUUAAUCAAGAACGAAAGUUAGGGAUCGAAGACGAUCAGAUACCGUCGUAGUCUUAACCAUAAACUAUGCCGACUAGGGAUCGGAUGAUGUUUAAUUUUUUAUGUACUUCUAUUCGGCGCCGU